rnacentral:rRNA from 1 species
CGAUGAACUGGAGCUUGCUCCAGGGAUUAGUGGCGAACGGGUGAGUAACACGUGAGUAACCUGCCCUUGACUCUGGGAUAAGCGCUAGAAAUGGCGUCUAAUACCGGAUACGAGCUUCAGCCGCAUGGCUAGGAGUUGGAAAGAAUUUUGGUCAAGGAUGGACUCGCGGCCUAUCAGCUAGUUGGUGAGGUAAUGGCUCACCAAGGCGACGACGGGUAGCCGGCCUGAGAGGGUGACCGGCCACACUGGGACUGAGACACGGCCCAGACUCCUACGGGAGGCAGCAGUGGGGAAUAUUGCACAAUGGGCGAAAGCCUGAUGCAGCAACGCCGCGUGAGGGAUGACGGCCUUCGGGUUGUAAACCUCUUUUAGUAGGGAAGAAGCGAAAGUGACGGUACCUGCAGAAAAAGCACCGGCUAACUACGUGCCAGCAGCCGCGGUAAUACGUAGGGUGCAAGCGUUGUCCGGAAUUAUUGGGCGUAAAGAGCUCGUAGGCGGUUUGUCGCGUCUGCUGUGAAAUCUGGGGGCUCAACCCCCAGCCUGCAGUGGGUACGGGCAGACUAGAGUGCGGUAGGGGAGAUUGGAAUUCCUGGUGUAGCGGUGGAAUGCGCAGAUAUCAGGAGGAACACCGAUGGCGAAGGCAGAUCUCUGGGCCGUAACUGACGCUGAGGAGCGAAAGCAUGGGGAGCGAACAGGAUUAGAUACCCUGGUAGUCCAUGCCGUAANCGUUGGGAACUAGAUGUGGGGGCCAUUCCACGGUCUCCGUGUCGCAGCUAACGCAUUAAGUUCCCCGCCUGGGGAGUACGGCCGCAAGGCUAAAACUCAAAGGAAUUGACGGGGGCCCGCACAAGCGGCGGAGCAUGCGGAUUAAUUCGAUGCAACGCGAAGAACCUUACCAAGGCUUGACAUAUACCGGAAACGUCCAGAGAUGGUCGCCCCGCAAGGUCGGUAUACAGGUGGUGCAUGGUUGUCGUCAGCUCGUGUCGUGAGAUGUUGGGUUAAGUCCCGCAACGAGCGCAACCCUCGUUCUAUGUUGCCAGCACGUUAUGGUGGGAACUCAUAGGAAACUGCCGGGGUCAACUCGGAGGAAGGUGGGGAUGACGUCAAAUCAUCAUGCCCCUUAUGUCUUGGGCUUCCCGCAUGCUACAAUGGCCGGUACAAAGGGCUGCGAUACCGUAAGGUGGAGCGAAUCCCAAAAAGCCGG